rnacentral:rRNA from 1 species
AACGAACGCUGGCGGCAGGCUUAACACAUGCAAGUCGAACGCCCCGCAAGGGGAGUGGCAGACGGGUGAGUAACGCGUGGGAACAUACCCUUUCCUGCGGAAUAGCGCUGGGAAACUGGAAUUAAUACCGCAUACGCCCUACGGGGGAAAGAUUUAUCGGGGAAGGAUUGGCCCGCGUUGGAUUAGCUAGUUGGGGGGGUAAAGGCCUACCAAGGCGACGAUCCAUAGCUGGUCUGAGAGGAUGAUCAGCCACAUUGGGACUGAGACACGGCCCAAACUCCUACGGGAGGCAGCAGUGGGGAAUAUUGGACAAUGGGCGCAAGCCUGAUCCAGCCAUGCCGCGUGAGUGAUGAAGGCCUUAGGGUUGUAAAGCUCUUUCACCGAUGAAGAUAAUGACGGUAGUCGGAGAAGAAGCCCCGGCUAACUUCGUGCCAGCCGCCGCCGUAAUAC